AGAGUUUGAUCCUGGCUCAGGAUGAACGCUGGCGGUGUGCCUUAAGCAUGCAAGUCGAACGGGUUAUGGAGCAAUCCAUGACCAGUGGCAGACGGGUGAGUAAUACGCAGGAAUCUACCCUUGUGUGGGGAAUAGCUCCGCGAAAGCGGAACUAAUACCGCAUAUGUCCGUAAGGACAAAGGGCGUAACUGCCCACUUUGGGAUGAGCCUGCGUCCUAUCAGCUUGUUGGUGAGGUAACGGCUCACCAAGGCGAUGACGGGUAGGGGGUGUGAGAGCACGGCCCCCCACAAGGGCACUGAGACACGGGCCCUACACCUACGGGUGGCAGCAACCAGGAAUAUUGCGCAAUGGGCGAAAGCCUGACGCAGCGACGCCGCGUGGAGGAUGGAGGUUUUCGGAUCGUAAACUCCUUUUUACAGAGAGAAAAAAAAUGAUAGUACCUGUAGAAUAAGCACCUGCAAACUACGUGCCAGCAGCCGCGGUAAUACGUAGGGUGCAAGCGUUAUCCGGAUUUACUGGGCGUAAAGAGUAUCGUAGGCGGCUUCUCAAGUCACGGGUUAAAGCCCUUUGCUUAACGAAGGAUCAGCCCGUGAUACUGAAAAGCUUGAAUUGGGUAGGGGGUGCUGGAAUUCCUGGUGGAGGAGUGAAAUCCGUUGAGAUCAGGAAGAACACCGAGGGCGAAGGCAGGCACCUAAGCCACAAUUGACGCUGAUGAACGAAAGCUAGGGGAGCGAAAGGGAUUAGAGACCCCUGUAGUCCUAGUUGUAAACAAUGCCUACUAGCUGCCCCGAUUUUAUCGGGAUGGCGUAAGCUAACGCGUUAAGUAGGCCGCCUGGGAAGUACGGCCGCAAGGCUAAAACUCAAAGGAAUUGACGG
rnacentral:rRNA from 1 species